rnacentral:rRNA from 1 species
UACAGAGGGUGCAAGCGUUAAUCGGAUUUACUGGGCGUAAAGGGCGCGUAGGUGGUUAUUUAAGUGAGAUGUGAAAGCCCCGGGCUCAACCUGGGAACUGCAUCUUAUACUGGGUAACUGGAGUGCAGUAGAGGGUAGUGGAAUUUCCGGUGUAGCGGUGAAAUGCGUAGAUAUCGGAAGGAACACCAGUGGCGAAGGCGGCUACCUGGACUGAGACUGACACUGAGGCGCGAAAGCGUGGGGAGCAAAC